AGCAGCCGCGGUAAUUCCAGCUCCAAUAGCGUAUAUUAAAGUUGUUGCAGUUAAAAAGCUCGUAGUUGAAUUUCGGGACUAAUAUGUCGGUCGUGCCUCGGUACGUACUGGCUUAUUGGUUUCUCCUUUCUGAAGAACCAUGAUGUCAUUUAUUUGGUGUCGUGGGGAAUCAGGACUGUUACUUUGAAAAAAUUAGAGUGUUUAAAGCAGGCUCACGCUUGAAUACAUUAGCAUGGAAUAAUGAAAUAGGACGUUUGAUUCUAUUUUGUUGGUUUCUAGGAUCGACGUAAUGAUUAAUAGGGAUAGUUGGGGGCAUUAGUAUUCAAUUGUCAGAGGUGAAAUUCUUGGAUUUAUUGAAGACUAACUACUGCGAAAGCAUUUGCCAAGGAUGUUUUCAUUAAUCAAGAACGAAAGUUAGGGGAUCGAAGACGAUCAGAUACCGUCGUAGUCUUAACCAUAAACUAUGCCGACUAGGGAUCGGAUGAUGUUAAUUUUUUAAUGACUCAUUCGGCGCCUUACG
rnacentral:rRNA from 1 species